CUUCUAUAACUUCUCCCUCUAUAACUCUCAAAACUCCCUCUAUAACUUCUCAAAAGCUAAAAUACUUUUAAAAGCCCUCCCAUCACAGGCUGUGUUUUUCAGUGAAUGAUCACAAGUGACUCUGUUGUGUGUAGCAUCUUGUCAACGAAAACAAAGUGAAAAGAUGGAGACUCUGACUGGGGCAGUAGCAGAGCUGCAGUGGCACCUGCAUUCUCCUCAUGUAACCUGAAGGAGUUCAGAGAGGUCACAAUGAUGAAUGGAUGCUAACAGAAAACAAAUGAAUAAAGUA